rnacentral:rRNA from 1 species
GACGAACGCUGGCGGCGUGCUUAACACAUGCAAGUCGAACGAAGUGGCGAACGGGUGAGUAACGCGUAAUCAACCUGCCCUUCAGCGGGGGACAACAGUUGGAAACGACUGCUAAUAUCGCAUACUGAAGGUGGGGAUUGCGUAUGUUUAGCUAGUUGGGGGGGUAACGGCCCACCAAGGCGAUGAUCAGGAGCCGGUCUGAGAGGAUGAACGGCCACAUUGGGACUGAGACACGGCCCAGACUCCUACGGGAGGCAGCAGUGGGGAAUCUUCCGGAAUGGACGAAAGUCUGACGGGGCAACGCCGCGUGAGUGAUGACGGCCUUCGGGUUGUAAAGCUCUGUUAGUCGGGACGCGGUACCGGAAUAGAAAGCCACGGCUAACUACGUGCCAGCCGCCGCGGUAAUUC